rnacentral:pre_miRNA from 9 species
UGGACAGCCGGCCCCGCCCGCCCAGUGUUCAGACUACCUGUUCAGGGGGCUCCGAAUGUGUACAGUAGUCUGCACAUUGGUUAGGCUGGGCCUGGGCAGCGG